UACGAAGGGGGGCUAGCGUUGCUCGGAAUCACUGGGCGUAAAGCGCACGUAGGCGGCUUACUAAGUCAGGGGUGAAAUCCUAGAGCUCAACUCCAGAACUGCCUUUGAUACUGGUGAGCUUGAGUCCGGAAGAGGUGAGUGGAACUGCGAGUGUAGAGGUGAAAUUCGUAGAUAUUCGCAAGAACACCAGUGGCGAAGGCGGCUCACUGGUCCGGUACUGACGCUGAGGUGCGAAAGCGUGGGGAGCAAACAGG
rnacentral:rRNA from 1 species